rnacentral:lncRNA from 1 species
AAGGAGUUAAUAGUAAUGCAGCGUGAUUGGGAAGGGCUUUCUACAUAAAUAUGGCUUUUUAGGCGCUUUAGCACAGUCCUGGGUUCCCAAACGGGUUGAGGCGCGGGUUCUCCCCUCCUCUCAUAUGGCACCGUUUCAAAAUUAGGUCAUUUAAGACCCUUUUUCUUUCUGCAUCUUCCCUAAAACACAGUCCCAAUUGUAGCCGAGAAACACAGCCUGGGAACUAAGUUUCUUGGUUUUUUUGGCAGCCGAAUCACCAUUACUUUGGUGACCAUCUACAUGCAAAAAGUACCCGUUUUCCCUGUUGAAGACACUUGAACAAGUUUUAAAAGGGUUUAGUAAGUAUCUUUCUCCUCUCCUUCUUUGUUUGAAUGAAAUAUUCGAAUCUCUCAUUAUUAUUUUUUUUUAAAAUGGAUGCAGAUUUGUAAAGUAAAAUGCUACUUGACCUCUCGCCAUUAUAUCCGCAUAGCAGAAAUAUUUGUGGCUUUCAUCGGUUUUUAGUUGUAUGUAAUAACAAUGAGUAAAUUAAGAAGAAAAUAAAAAAUCGGAAGAAAAAAGCGAAAAGUAUGAAAUCACCUCUGAUCUUUGUAUUCAAUCUCUGUAUAUUUUUUCCUUUUUUUUCUUUUUACAACUGAUUCGCUGCUUCGCUUUUAUAGCCGAAGAGAAAAAAGAAAGAAAAAAUGGAAAAUAAAUUCCAAAUACAAUUCUCGUUCCCUUCCAUUUGUUGUUCUGCCAUUUUUGUUUGUAUUUGCUGUUGUGUUUGUACUUCUUGCAGGUAUAGGGUGCGUUGGCAUCGUACGGAGACUGUGCUGGUGUACGAGGGCUGUUGACGUGGUUGCUGGAGGGGUUGUACGGCGCCUGGAGGUUGCGGAGGGCUGCUACGGCACAAAGGGGAAAGCUGCUAGGGUUUCUCGGUUUAGACAUUGGGCCUAUUGGGCCUUGAAGCUUUGGACUGUUUUGUAAAUGGGCUAGGGUAUUAAUUUUAGUGGGCUGUUUGGGCUUGUAAUAGGUCACUAACUAAAUGGACCUUAUUUUAUUUAUUUAUUUAUUUGUAUAUAUUUUAUAUGUAUAUAUGUGAUUGGGGUUUUAGCGAGCCCGGGCCGAAAUUGGUCAUUACAUGUAUUAAUAAAAUAAAAUACUGAAUUUUAAAAAGUUGACUGAUUUUGCCUUCUGAAUUUUUAAAAGUUAGAAAUUCAACUUUACUUAUCAACAAUUAUAAAAUUGGAAAUUAACUCGUUACACAAAUCGAAAAUUUUUUAUAUCUAGGUUUAAGUCUCUUUAUUAAGACUUUUUUCUUGAAAACUUAGAUGUAAAUUGAACAACAAUAUUUUAC